GACGAACGCUGGCGGCGUGCUUAACACAUGCAAGUCGAACGAAGUGGCGAACGGGUGAGUAAUACGUGCGUACCCUGCCCUCCUUUUUGGGUUAAGCCUUGGAAACGUGGUCUAAUACCGUAUUAAGGGGGAUGGGCUCGCGGCCUAUCAGCUUGUUGGUGGGGUGAUGGCCUACCCAGGCGGUGACGGGUAGCCGGACUGAGAGGGGGAACUGCAACAUUGAGACUGAGAAACGGCCCAGGCGACGACGGGGGGGAGCAGUGGGGGAAAUUGCACAAAGGGCGAAAGCCUGACGCAGCGAGGGCGAGGGAGGGAUGAGGGCUUUCAGGUUGUAAACCUCGUGCGCAAUCGAACGGGUAGGUAGAGAAGAAGCGCCGGCUAACUACGUGCCAGCAGCCGCGGUAAUAC
rnacentral:rRNA from 1 species